rnacentral:rRNA from 1 species
CGUAGGUGAACCUGCGGAAGGAUCAUUGUCGAAACCUGCCCAGCAGAACGACCCGCGAAUCUGUUAUCGUGCCGGGGGAGGACGAAGGGUGCGCUCGCGCAUCCUCCGCCCUUCCCUCGUCGGGAAGCACGCGUGCGCCUCCGUCGUCCCCCCUCGCGGAGGAGGACGGUGCGCGCGCGCGGGCUCUCCUCGACCGAACAACGAACCCCGGGGCAAAACGCUCCAAGGAACUUUUAAACUCGGACCUUGCUCCCGUCGCCCCGGUCACGGUGCGCGCUCGGGAAGCAGUGCUGUCUUUUGUAACCAAUAACGACUCUCGGCAACGGAUAUCUCGGCUCUCGCAUCGAUGAAGAACGUAGCGAAAUGCGAUACUUGGUGUGAAUUGCAGAAUCCCGUGAACCAUCGAGUCUUUGAACGCAAGUUGCGCCCGAAGCCAUUAGGCCGAGGGCACGUCUGCCUGGGCGUCACGCAACGUCGCCCCCCCCCAACACCCCGUCUCGCGAGACGCGGGAGAUGCGUGGGGGCGGAUAGUGGCCUCCCGUGCGCCGCUGCUCGCGGUUGGCCUAAAUGCGAGUCCCCGGCGUCGAGCGCCACGACAAGCGGUGGUUGAGAGACCUUCCGGAUCCAGUCGUGCGCGCCCGUCGUCCAACGGGAGCUCUCUGACCCUUUGCGCGUCGUCUCGACGACGCUUUCGUAGCGACCCCAGGUCAGGCGGGGCUACCCGCUGAAUUUAAGCAUAUC